rnacentral:rRNA from 1 species
GACGAACGCUGGCGGCGUGCCUAAUACAUGCAAGUCGAACGCACAGUUUAUACCGUGGCUUGCUACACCAUAGACUGUGAGUUGCGAACGGGUGAGUAACGCGUAGGUAACCUGCCUGGUAGCGGGGGAUAACUAUUGGUAACGCUAGCUAAUACGGCAUAAUAUUUAUUAUUGUAGGAUGAUUAAUUGAAAGGUGUAAUUGCACCACUACUAGAUGUACCUGCGUUGUAUUAGCUAGUAGGUGAGGUAACGGCUCACCUAGGCGACGAUACAUAGCCGACCUGAGAGGGUGGUCGGCCGGACUGGGAGGGAGACACGGCACAGACGGCUACGGGAGGCAGCAGGAGGGAAUCGUCGGGAAUGGGUGAAAGUCUGAGCGCGAAACGCGGAGGGAGUGAGGAGGGUUGUCGGGUCGGAAAGCACUGUUGUAAGGGUGGAACGGGUGUGAGAGUGGAAAGAUCACCAUGUGACGGUACCUGACCAGGAAGCGACGGCUAACUACGUG